UUCUCAGUCUUUUAGAGUAGUUUCAGUAGGCUUGGUACCAGUUCUUCUUUGAAUGUCUGAUAGAAUUUGGCUGUGAUCUGUCUGGGUUUUUUAGUCGGCAUUUUUUUUUUCUUACUUAUACAAUCUCACUGCUUGUUAUUGGUCUGUAAGGAUACCUAUUUCUUCCUGGUUUAAGCUGGUAGGGUUGUAUGUUUCCCGGAAUCUAUCUAUUUUCUUUACUUUUAUUUUUAUGUGCAUAGAGGUUACAUAGUAGUCUCAAAUGAUCUUUUAUAUUUCUGUGAUAUUGGUUAAAAUGUUUCCAUUUUCAUUUCUAAUUGAGCUAAUUUAAACUUCUAUCUUCUUAAUUGUUCUAACUAAUGUUCUAACUAAUUGUUAGAACAAUUGUUAAUCGUUCUAAUUGUUAGAACAAUUGUUAAUCGUUCUAACAAUCUUAAUUCUUCUAACUAAUGAUCUAUUGUAUUUCUAUUUUCAAAUAACCAAAUUUUGUUUCAUUAAACUUUUGUAUUUUUAUUUCAAUUUCAUUUAGUUCUGCUUUAAUCUUUCUUUUCUUCUCCUGGCUUUAAGUUUGAUUUGUUGUUUCUAUAGUUUCUUGAGGUAUGACAUUAUGUUGCGAAUUUGUAAUCUUUCAGACUUUUUUACGUAGGUGUUCAGUGCUAGAAACUUUCCUUUUAGCAUUGCUUUUGCUAUGUCCCAGAGGUUUUGAUAACUUGUGUCACUAUAAUCAUCCAUUUAAAGAAUUUUUUAAUUUCUUUCUUCAUUUCAUUGUUAACCCAGUAAUCAUUAAGAAGCAGAUUGUUCAAUUUCCAGGAUCUUGAGAUGACGUCAUACUGGAUGAUCCUAGUGCACCCUAAAUCCAAUAAGUGUUCUUAUGAAAGACAGAAGAGGAGAAGAUACAGGAAAUAGAAGAAGGCUACUUGAGGAUGGAAGCAGAGCUUGGAGUUAUGCAGCUACAAACCAAAGAAUGCCUUGAGCCACCAGCAGCUGAAAGAGCUAGUCAGCAAUACAACUGGGAUUUGAUAUCAGAUUCAUACGAUUCCGAAGACCCUGACCACCAAAUGCAAAAGGUACAUGGCAACAGCUGAUUGCAAUGAGAGAAAAACAACUAAUAAGGCAACAAGCAGGAUACUAAGAUAUUUUCCAAAAUGAAUAGCACUGAUUCUGUGAGGAAUGAACAUUGCCAAACAAGUGUUUUGUUUUGUUUUUCAACUCCUCUAAAAAAAUUCACAUAUAUGCAUGCCACUUUCCUGAAAAAUAUCUGCCUCAUAAUUGCCAUAAGAAACGGUAUGGACAACUCUUAAACAUUCUGAAAGUAGUCAGGGAUGGGGGAAAGCAUUUGCUGUUUUAGUCUGUUCCUGGUCUUAUAACAAAUACCACAAACUGGGUAAUUUAUGAUUACAGAAAUGUAUUUCUGAAAGUUCAGGAGUUGGGAAGUUCAAGAUUAUGGCACCAACAUAUUCAUUGUCUGAUGAGGGCCUGUUUCAUAGAUGUCAUUUUGCAUGACUUAAUCACAUGGUAGGAAAAGCAAAGGGACAAAAUGGACAAAUGCCAUGUUGUCACAUGGCAGAAGAAAUGGAAGAGCCAGGAAGCUCUCAGAAGCUUCCUUAAUUAGGAUAUUAAUCUCAUUAUGAGUGCACAGCCAUCAUGACUUAAUUGCCUCCAAAGGCCCCACUUCCUCAUCACUUUGAGGAUUAAACUUAAACAUGAAUUUGGAGGAAAUAUAUUCAAACUCUAGGACUAGUUUAAAUGUAGCUAAAAAGGUUUCUUCAUUCUGUAAUCGUUAAUAUGCUAAUAUUUUUGUAAAUAUCCAAGAGGAAGCUAAAGCAUAUAAUAUUCCAAAAUUUAUUUCUGUUUGUGGAUAUUAUGUUUUCCUCUCAUUCUAUCUUAAGAAAUUAGUGUCCUCAAGAAACACUAUAUAGGAUAAUUGUCUUUCAAGUUCAUCAACUACCGGUUCUUGAUUCUUCAGUAGCUAAUCCUAGAUAGUAAUACUUAACAGAUUAUAAAAACUUGGGUGCUGCUAUAUAAAUGCGCUGAAACUCCCAGGGAACCAAACAUAAGGACUUAAAGAGAGAUGUAACUAGGGAUCAUAAUCAUGAAUUUCAGCUGCUUCUCUAUCUUUGUCAGUGAGCAAAUGACCAUACAAAAUAAGGUAUUCAAUUAUUAAUUCUGUGCCCAUAUCCCGGAAUUUUGCCCAAUAUAUUUGUAAGUUUAGAUAAAUAAGGCACUAAUGCCAGGGAUAUGUAGCAUUAGUUCUGGGUUUAUAAAGGGAUAUUCACAACCUCUUGCCAUCCACAGAAUUUAUCAGCCCAAAGUAAACUAUACUCGUUAGUUAAGGGCAACCUGAGACAUGUUUAAAACUGAGGUGGACUGAAGAGUCAACUAAUUGCGGGAAUCUUUUAUUUGGCUGAAAUGUUCAAACAAGUCCCACUCUGAAUUCUAUUAGAAGUCCAUCAUUGGCUUCUCUCUCUUUCUCACUGUCUUAAAUCAUGUAUUUUAUAACACUAUGAAGAAUGAAGUUCAAAAGAAUAAGCUAAAUUUAAUUAAUUAAAUUAUUUAUUUAUUUAUUUUGAGACAGAGUCUCACUCUGUCACCCAGGCCAGAGUUCAGUUGCACGAUCUUGGCUCAGUGCAUCCUUCACCUCCUGGGCUCAAGAGAUCCUCCUGAAGCAGGGUAUUUCCCUGACCCCUUCAUGGGACUCGUGACAGGGGUGCCCCAUUUACUCAGCCCACUGCUCUCAACUCCUCAAGGGAGGGAGUGCGCAAUUGAACAAGGCAGGAACUGGAGUACACGAGUGUUGGAACCAGUGGCCUCUUUGGUGCCAGAAGGAGUGAACUCACCCACUCUGACCUGCUGUGUUCCACCUCUUGCAGGAGAGAGCAUGCAGGUGAGCAGGUACAGGAGCCAGGAAGAGAGCUUUGGGGUGUUGGCAGGAGCAAACUCCAUGUGGGCCCCAUAGCAGCCCCUGGGGUUAGGGGGGUGCCUGUGAUUCCUGAAGCCCCUGUGGGCAUAUUACAGUGCUCCUUUAGCUCUGCCGUCUUCAGACAGCUGAAGUGUUAGCAGCUCAGCAUGCCUUUUUGUAUCCACACUCACUCCUGAGCUCUUGUUUGGCAUCCAGGAAAAAAUCAGCUCACAGAAACGAAUUGAAGGAUGGUAAAUGCAGAGGAUUUUAUUGCCAAGGAAAGUGGCUCUCAGCAGGAAGGGCAGCUGGGAAGGAGAUGUAGCAGGAAGGUUUCUGGCUGGACUCUUCUCCAAAGUUGCACUGUCAAGCUGUCUCUCUGAAAUCAAGCUGCUUCUCUCCAACGUCCAACCGUAGUCUCUGAUGCCCAGCUGCUGCUUCUCUUUUGAUGUUCAGCUGCUUCUCUUUUUUGCUAGCUGAGUCUGGGGUUUUUAUGGGCACAGGAUGGGGGACAGGGGAGGUCAUGGGUAAUUUUGUAAAAGGCAACAUUUGAGUGGGAAAACAGGAAUGUAUGUUCUCACUUUGGGCUUUGGUUCCAGGCUUGAGGGUGGAGCCGUUGCCAGGGACCUGCCCUCUUUUGCCCAGAAUUUCCCUGCCUCCCUUCCCUAUCACUCCCACCCCAUCACUCCCACCUCAACAUCCUGAGUAGCUGGGAUUAUAGGCGCACACCACCGCAUCUGAUUAAUAUUUAAAUUUUUUGUAGAGACAGGGU
rnacentral:lncRNA from 1 species